UACGUAGGUGACAAGCGUUGUCCGGAUUUACUGGGCGUAAAGAGCGCGCAGGCGGUCGAUCAAGUCGAGUGUGAAAGCCCCCGGCUCAACUGGGGAGGGUCAUUCGAUACUGAUCGACUCGAAGGCAGGAGAGGGUAGUGGAAUUCCCGGUGUAGUGGUGAAAUGCGCAGAUAUCGGGAGGAACACCGGUGGCGAAGGCGGGUCUCUGGGCCGGAACUGACGCUGAGGAGCGAAAGCGUGGGGAGCGAACAGG
rnacentral:rRNA from 1 species